UGCGAGUCGUACGAGAACGGGUCUUAGCUUGCUAAAGAUUGCCAGCUAAGUGGCGCACGGGUGAGUAAUAUAUAGUUAACCUGCCCUAGAGAGAGGGAUAACGUUUGGAAACGGACGCUAACACCUCAUAUGCCUUUAAGACAAAAGUCUGCAAGGGAAACAUUUAUGGCUCUAGGAUGGGACUGUACGGUAUCAGUUAGUUGGUGAGGUAAUGGCUCACCAAGACAAUGACACCUAACUGGUUUGAGAGGAUGAUCAGUCACACUGGAACUGAGACACGGUCCAGACUCCUACGGGAGGCAGCAGUGGGGAAUAUUGCACAAUGGACGAAAGUCUGAUGCAGCAACGCCGCGUGGAGGAUGACACAUUUCGGUGCGUAAACUCCUUUUAUAUAGGAAGAUAAUGACGGUACUAUAUGAAUAAGCACCGGCUAACUCCGUGCCAGCAGCCGCGGUAAUACGGAGGGUGCAAGCGUUACUCGGAAUCACUGGGCGUAAAGAGAAUGUAGGCGGGUAAUUAAGUCAGAAGUGAAAUCCAAUAGCUCAACUAUUGAACUGCUUUUGAAACUGAUAACCUAGAAUAUGGGAGAGGUAGAUGGAAUUUCUGGUGUAGGGGUAAAAUCCGUAGAGAUCAGAAGGAAUACCGAUUGCGAAGGCAAUCUACUGGAACAUUAUUGACGCUGAGAUUCGAAAGCGUGGGGAGCAAACAGGAUUAGAUACCCUGGUAGUCCACGCCCUAAACGAUGCACACUAGU
rnacentral:rRNA from 1 species